rnacentral:rRNA from 1 species
GACGAACGCUGGCGGCGUGCUUAACACAUGCAAGUCGAACGGAAAGGCCCUGCUUUUGUGGGGUGCUCGAGUGGCGAACGGGUGAGUAACACGUGAGUAACCUGCCCUUGACUUUGGGAUAACUUCAGGAAACUGGGGCUAAUACCGGAUAGGAGCUCCUGCUGCAUGGUGGGGGUUGGAAAGUUUCGGCGGUUGGGGAUGGACUCGCGGCUUAUCAGCUUGUUGGUGGGGUAGGGGCUUACCAAGGCUUUGACGGGUAGCCGGCAUGAGAGGGUGACCGGGGACCAGACGCCUGAGAGACGGAGCAGACUGCAACGGGAGGCAACAGUGGGGAGUAUUGCACAGUGAGCCGGAGUGUGAUGCGGAGGCGCCGCGUGCGGAAUGACGUCCUUCGGGGUGUGAACAGCUUUCGCCUGAGACGAAGCGUGAGUGACGGUAAUGGGUAAAGAAGCACCGGCUAACUACGUG